UAGCUUUAAGAAAAUUAUUUAAGGUUUUACCUGCCCAGUGAAAAUUUUAACGGCCGCAGUACUUUGACUGUGCUAAGGUAGCAUAAUAAAUUGGCUUUUAAUUAAAGUCGGGUAUGAAAGGGAUCACGGAAAGUAACUGUCUCAAGUAUAUAUAAUUUUAAUUUAAUCAAUGGGUGAAAAUUCCCAUAGUAAUUUACAUUAGACGAGAAGACCCUAAGAGUUAUAAUUAAGAUGAAUUUAUUUUCAUGUAUCAUUUUUGUUGGGGCAACAUAGACUGGAUUAAACCGUCAUAAAUUAAUUUUACAUAACAGUUAUAUUUAAAAAGAAAUAAACUACCUUAGGGAUAACAGCAUAAUUAAUUUUUAGAUUGUGACCUCGAUGUUGGAUUAAGGACUUUGUUUACUAGCCGUAAACUAAGAUAGUUCUGUUCGAACUGUAAUACCUU
rnacentral:rRNA from 1 species